AACGAACGCUGGCGGCAUGCCUAACACAUGCAAGUCGAACGAGACCUUCGGGUUCAGUGGCGCACGGGUGCGUAACGCGUGGGAACCUGCCCUUAGGUUCGGAAUAACUCCCCGAAAGGGGUGCUAAUACCCGGUAAUGUCUUCGGUCCAAAGAUUUAUCGCCUUUGGAUGGGCCCGCGUUGGAUUAGCUAGUUGGUAGGGUAAAAGCCUACCAAGGCGACGAUCCAUAGCUGGUCUGAGAGGAUGAUCAGCCACACUGGGACUGAGACACGGCCCAGACUCCUACGGGAGGCAGCAGUGGGGAAUAUUGGACAAUGGGCGAAAGCCUGAUCCAGCAAUGCCGCGUGAGUGAUGAAGGCCUUAGGGUUGUAAAGCUCUUUUACCCGGGAUGAUAAUGACAGUACCGGGAGAAUAAGCUCCGGCUAACUCCGUG
rnacentral:rRNA from 1 species